GUUAACAGACAUCUUAUGCUGAUUUUCCAGAGUAAUCCUCAGAUGUCCCACAAUUCCACAGAGGAUGUUGUGGGUUAAGAGGGAGACACCAACCCCCCCAAGACCUGUUGAGUUCCCUAAAUCACAACAGGUCUACAAGAUGGCUGGCUCACUGUCUGAGAGAAUCAGGGGUCUACAAGAUGGCCGACUCACUGUCUGAGCGUGACAGACCGACAACAACAACUGCUCUAUGGCCUCUGCUCUCCCACAGAAGGCAAUCCGGAAUGACAAGGGAGGAUCUGCAGGACCUGAAGGAAUCAGCCUGUGACCUGACAGAGAUGGAGCCAACCAACUCAUUGUGCUCAACAAUGACAGCCAUGAGAACCUGAGUGCCUUCCUGGGGCCUGCUCUACACUGAGAAACGGCAGUGGCAACAAGCCAUGUCCGACUUUGAAGCGGGAUCAAACUCGACAGCGCUGGCCCCAGUGAACCUGGCUUGCUGAAGGUUGGGAAAAUAUCCUCAGUGGUUGGUGGAUACCCACAUUUUACCAGCCCCUCCUAUUUUGUUCCAGGCCCAUUUCUCUUCUACGCUGUACCCCACCCCGCUUUCACCUCCAGUGUUCAGAUUGUUUCUUCUGGAGCUGAAACACACUCAAAUAAAUAUGAAUGUACCAGCCAAUGCCAAAAUCUACCAGCAUUUGGCAAGUGGCUGGUGUUCAUUUCCCACCCUGCUGAAGAUGGGUCAGAAUUAUGUAGCCAUCAGAAUGUUCAGCAAUGCCUUAAGGAUGGACCCCACCUACAUCAGAGGAUACAGGUAGCCUAAUGAUUAGAGCAUUGGGUCAGUAACCGAAAGGUUGGUGGAUCGAAUCCCCGAGCUGACGAGGUCAAUGAUCUGAAGAGAGAAAAUCAUACAAGCCACUCACAUGAAACCAGGUGCACAUCACUUCCAUAUCAUGAGCUCUAGGGUCAUUUCCUAUCCAGCAGGCUGCAGUCCAGUCUUUCCUGGGGAAUGAUGCCAAAGCCAUUGCCUGUCUAGAGGCAGCCACCAACAACCGACCCUCACCUCCUAUCUUCAUUCUGCUGGGUAAGACUCAGAUGAAGGCAAGCAUGGUCAUAGUAUGUUGUUGCUAUGUUAUGGGUUACCAUACCUUGACAUGUUUCAUCCAUUAACUCAGGGUUUCCCAAACUCGG